rnacentral:rRNA from 1 species
GUGAGGAAUAUUGCGCAAUGGAGGCAACUCUGACGCAGCCAUGCCGCGUGCAGGAAGAAGGCGCUACGCGUUGUAAACUGCUUUUAACCGGGAAGGAACCCCAGGACGUGUCCUGGGUUGACGGUACCGGAGGAAUAAGCACCGGCUAACUUCGUGCCAGCAGCCGCGGUAAUACGAAGGGUGCAAGCGUUAUCCGGAUUCAUUGGGUUUAAAGGGUGCGUAGGCGGAGCGUUAAGUCAGUGGUGAAAUCCUGCAGCUUAACUGUAGACUUGCCAUUGAUACUGGCGCUCUUGAGUGCGCUUGACGUGGGCGGAAUGUGCCGUGUAGCGGUGAAAUGCUUAGAUAUGGCACAGAACACCAAUUGCGAAGGCAGCUCACUAAGGCGAUACUGACGCUGAGGCACGAAAGCGUGGGGAUCGAACAGGAUUAGAAACCCCAGUAGUCC